ACGGAAGGCAGCAGUGGGGAAUAUUGCACAAUGGGGGAAACCCUGAUGCAGCGACGCCGCGUGAGUGAAGAAGUAUUUCGGUAUGUAAAGCUCUAUCAGCAGGGAAGAUAAUGACGGUACCUGACUAAGAAGCCCCGGCUAACUACGUGCCAGCAGCCGCGGUAAUACGUAGGGGGCAAGCGUUAUCCGGAUUUACUGGGUGUAAAGGGUGCGUAGACGGUUAGGCAAGUCAGAUGUGAAAGCCCGGGGCUCAACCCCGGGACUGCAUUUGAAACUGCUUAACUAGAGUGCAGGAGAGGUAAGUGGAAUUCCUAGUGUAGCGGUGAAAUGCGUAGAUAUUAGGAGGAACACCAGUGGCGAAGGCGGCUUACUGGACUGUAACUGACGUUGAGGCACGAAAGCGUGGGGAGCAAACAGGAUUAGAUACCCUGGUA
rnacentral:rRNA from 1 species